GAGUUACCCUGCGUUCACACCAAAAGAUGCAUUUGCUGCCCGAACGCGUUGUCGCCGAAGUUUUGCGGCGCAGCAAAUCAAGUUUUGCGCAGCAACAGUUUUGCAGCGCGGGAAGUUUCGCGGCACGGCAAGUUUUG